rnacentral:rRNA from 1 species
UACAGAGGGGGCAAGCGUUGUUCGGAAUUACUGGGCGUAAAGGGCGCGUAGGCGGCCCGCUAAGUCGAACGUGAAAUCCCCGGGCUCAACCCGGGAACUGCGUCCGAUACUGGUGGGCUUGAAUCCGGGAGAGGGAUGCGGAAUUCCAGGUGUAGCGGUGAAAUGCGCAGAUAUCAGGAGGAACACCGGUGGCGAAGGCGGAUCUCUGGGCCAUUACUGACGCUGAGGAGCGAAAGCGUGGGGAGCGAACAGG